rnacentral:rRNA from 1 species
UUUGGUGGCGAUGCGUUUUUGGGAAACACCCGUUCUCAUCCCGAACACGAUGGUUAAGACUUAAACGGCCGAUGAUACUAUACUGGUAACAGUAUGGGAAAGUAGGUGGCUGCCAAAU